rnacentral:rRNA from 1 species
AUGGCUGCAGGUGGGGCUUUUCUUCUUGCUUUUUCUGUUUUUUCCAUGCUGGUUAUGUCUUCCCUGGGGGGCCUAGGCCUUUAUGCAGCGACUACGAGACGCUAUGUCGUACCAACUGCCAUGCAGAGGUUGAAACCCUCUGCGGCAGUACCUGCGACUACAACAACAGCGGUCAGGCGGACUGCCGGCGUCAGAUCUUCAAGAGGUGCACCACAGAAGGUACCUGCUGCAGUAGCAACGGCACAUGCACUUGUGAUUGCAACACUGUAG